rnacentral:tRNA from 1 species
GGCUCAUUGGUCUAGGGUUAUGAUUCUAGCUUCAGAUGCGAGGGUUCCGGGUUCAAAUCCUGGACGAGCUU